GCUCUGGGGGCAGGACGGGGACAGGAUCGGGGCAGCAGAGCCCCCACAGGGCAGGAAGGGGGGGACAAAUUGCCCCCUCUCUUCCCUGACAUCGCUCCCAGGUUCAGCUGCUGUCAGGGCUGAGGGGGCUCCCUGCCACCUCAACCCGGGACGAGUCCUUCCUCCCAGCUUUCACAGUGUCAUCAAAAAAAUCAGAUUUUUGAAUUUUGGAGUGUCUUGGAAACAGAAGUUAAAUCUGAUUUCAGCUGACAAAACUGUUUUCUGGUUAUGCAAACUUAUCUCUGGGCAAACUAACCAUGGAAAUACAAGAAUUUACUCAAUUCUUGGCAGAACAUGAAGCCUCGGUCUACCUCAUUAUACCUUCCGGUGGCUGCAGCUGUUUUUUUGCGCCUGUUCACUUUCUACAAGAGUUUCAAGUUGUGGACAGUCUUUCCCAAUGCCACACAACCAAUGUCCUGAUUUUUCACCAAUAUCAUUGUGAUAAAUAGAAGAUGGUUAAAUGCAUCCAUUCUAGGCCAGUCAGUAGGAAGAAACAAGAUUGCAGGCACGCCUACUGAAAUCACUCAACCAAUUGAAGAAACAGAAUGGGAUUUGGAUUAUAGGGUUUCAGAUAAUACCAAGUUCCUUGUGAAAGACAUGUAUCUGUCAAGCUCGUGAUCACUAAAUGUGAUUCUGUCACACUGAAAAAAAUGUAUCUGUGACAAAGAUGAGAUGACUGUGAACAAGGCCAAUGACACUGAGCUACAGCAGGACAGAAUAAAGCAGAAGCUCUUUGACUCCUGGUGACUUGAGUUCAAGUCCCAAAUGGACUUCUGAUCAGCAGGAUAGCUGAUUUCUGAAUAAAGAGAGAGAAAAAAUGUGUAAACUUGGUGAAGUGCUCCACAAGUUCCAGCUUGCAAACCUCGCAGAGAGUGCAGCCCAUCCAGCUCACAGACUCUCACCUAAUACAACAUGCUGUUUGGUUAUACUUUUCACUAAACACAAGAUGAAAAGACUAUCGUAAUGUGUCUGACUGCAAGGCAAAAAUCUCAGAAAAUGGAGAGGUUGAGAAUGGUUGUAUAUUCUGCACAACUUUGGAAGUGACAUGUUAGUAAUGGUCCAUGGCAAAAAAAAAAGCUGCUGCAUCCAGACAAUUCUUUGGUAAGAACAAGUUUUAUUUAAUGGUAUAAAAAUGGAUGGCUAGGAAGAGAAUGAGAUAGACUAUUCUAAGUAAUGUAUCAUGAAAAAAAAAUAGAAUUUAACUUAGGAUGACACUUGAAAUGAAAAUAGUCUGGACAAAGAUGAAGUUUGCAGAUCCUAAGGCAAGAAUCUUUGUGUUUGUAUAUUUCUCACAGUUUAUUUAUAACAACUGGAAUUUCAUCGUUGUUGAUUUUCAAGUUGUU